rnacentral:rRNA from 1 species
UACGAAGGGUGCAAGCGUUACUCGGAAUUACUGGGCGUAAAGCGUGCGUAGGUGGUGAGUUAAGUCUGAUGUGAAAUCCCCGGGCUCAACCUGGGAAUGGCAUUGGAUACUGGCUCGCUAGAGUGCGGUAGAGGGUGGUGGAAUUCCCGGUGUAGCAGUGAAAUGCGUAGAGAUCGGGAGGAACAUCUGUGGCGAAGGCGGCCACCUGGACCAACACUGACACUGAGGCACGAAAGCGUGGGAGCAAACAGG